CGCGGCCUAUCAGCUUGUUGGUGGGGUAACGGCCCACCAAGGCAUCGACGGGUAGCUGGUCUGAGAGGACGAUCAGCCACACUGGGACUGAGACACGGCCCAGACUCCUACGGGAGGCAGCAGUGGGGAAUAUUGCGCAAUGGGCGAAAGCCUGACGCAGCAACGCCGCGUGGGGGAUGACGGCCUUCGGGUUGUAAACCCCUUUCAGCAGGGACGAAAAUGACGGUACCUGCAGAAGAAGCCCCGGCCAACUACGUGCCAGCAGCCGCGGUAACACGUAGGGGGCAAGCGUUGUCCGGAUUUAUUGGGCGUAAAGAGCUCGUAGGCGGUUGCGUAAGUCGGAUGUGAAAACUCAGGGCCCAACCCGGAGACGCCAUCCGAUACUGCGCUGACUAGAGUCCGGUAGAGGAGCAUGGAAUUCCUGGUGUAGCGGUGAAAUGCGCAGAUAUCAGGAGGAACACCAGUGGCGAAGGCGGUGCUCUGGGCCGGUACUGACGCUGAGGAGCGAAAGCGUGGGUAGCGAACAGGAUUAGAUACCCUGGUAGUCCACGCCGUAAACGUUGGGCACUAGGUGUGGGGCCUCCUUAACGGGUUCCGUGCCGUAGCUAACGCAUUAAGUGCCCCGCCUGGGGAGUACGG
rnacentral:rRNA from 1 species